rnacentral:rRNA from 1 species
UGGGGAAUAUUGCACAAUGGGCGAAAGCCUGAUGCAGCAACGCCGCGUGAGCGAUGAAGGCCUUUGGGUCGUAAAGCUCUGUCCUUGGGGAAGAAACAAAUGACGGUACCCUGGAGGAAGCCCCGGCUAACUACGUGCCAGCAGCCGCGGUAAUACGUAGGGGGCGAGCGUUAUCCGGAAUUAUUGGGCGUAAAGAGUGCGUAGGUGGUCUUGUAAGCGUGGGGUGAAAGGCAGUGGCUUAACCAUUGUUAGCCUUGCGAACUGUGAGACUUGAGUGCAGGAGAGGAAAGUGGAAUUCCUAGUGUAGCGGUGAAAUGCGUAGAUAUUAGGAGGAACACCAGUGGCGAAGGCGACUUUCUGGACUGUAACUGACACUGAGGCACGAAAGCGUGGGGAGCAAACAG